rnacentral:rRNA from 1 species
AUACGGAGGGUACGAACGUUAAUCGGAAUUACUGGGCGUAAAGCGCGCGUAGGUGGUUCGGUAAGUGGGAUGUGAAAGCCCCGGGCUCAACCCGGGAACUGCAUUCCAAACUGCCGGGCUAGAGUAUGGUAGAGGGAGGUAGAAUUUCCUGUGUAGCGGUGAAAUGCGUAGAUAUAGGAAGGAAUACCGGUGGCGAAGGCGGCCUCCUGGACCAAUACUGACACUGAGGUGCGAAAGCGUGGGGAGCAAACAGGAUUAGAAACCCGAGUAGUCC